AUUGAACGCUGGCGGCAGGCCUAACACAUGCAAGUCGAGCGAGCGGCGGACGGGUGAGUAAUGUCUGGGGAACUGCCUGAUGGAGGGGGAUAACUACUGGAAACGGUGGCUAAUACCGCAUACCAUCGGAUGUACCCAUAUGGGAUUAGCUAGUAGGUGGGGUAAAGGCUCACCUAGGCGACGAUCCCUAGCUGGUCUGAGAGGAUGACCAGCCACACUGGAACUGAGACACGGUCCAGACUCCUACGGGAGGCAGCAGUGGGGAAUAUUGCACAAUGGGCGCAAGCCUGAUGCAGCCAGGCCGCGUGUAUGAAGAAGGCCUUCGGGUUGUAAAGUACUUUCAGCGGGGAGGCGUUACCCGCAGAAGAAGCACCGGCUAACUACGUGCCAGCAGCCGCGGUAAUAC
rnacentral:rRNA from 1 species